GCUCCCAUCGUCUAGCGGUUAGGACGCCGCCCUCUCAAGGCGGUAACCGGGGUUCAAAUCCCCGUGGGAGCGCCA
rnacentral:tRNA from 1 species